rnacentral:lncRNA from 1 species
GGGACAAUUAAAUUUUAUUUAAACCAUUUUACUUUUUUUUAUAAAACAUUUCGAUCUAAAAAAUAAAAAAUUCUGAAAAGAUAUGAAAUGUUGAACUACAACUGUUUGGAUAUGAUUUCCAUUGAUCUCAUCCAUUAAAUUUUUUAUCUAAUCAUUUUACUACCAUCUUCAUCAUCUUAUCUAGAUCUUCAUCAUCUUAUCCAACUAUAAUCAAUUAAAUUGGAUUUUCAUGUUCAAUCUAGGACAUCCAAGAUUAUCUAUAACAAUCAUAUACAACAUUAUAUAGCAUGUGUGGUGAUUGUGUAAGAAUUGGGGAGUAGCAUUAUAUAAAAAAAUCAGUUUCUUAUAUAAUGCUACUUCCCAACCCUUACACAAUCACCACACAUUCUAUAUACAAUCUAGUUACAUAUUUAUAUAAAAAAAAUGGCUCAACAAGUAAGCGAUAACUCCUCUUCCGACGACGACAACCAAGGCCACGCUAUAAUAACGACGAUGUACGGAGAAUACCAAUCUUUCAUGUUGGCUUCAUAGGGGAAGUGCAAAACACAACAUAGAGUAACAUCAUCAUGUUGGCUUUUGUUUAAAGUAAUAGUCAAAAUGCAUGAUAUCAUUCAUAAUUCGUAAAAAUAAUUCACGCCUCAUAUGAUUUCUAUUUCGAAAAUCACGAGGAGCAUAUAAAAGACGAUCAACAAAGUAUCAUUCAUAAGUAAGUCGUGCGCACCUAUUUGGUCCCAUCUUACUGAAUUCCGGCGUGAUGAUGUUCCUCCAUGUUGUGUUUUGCACUUCCCCUGUGAAGCGAACAUGUUAUUGGUAUUCUACGUACAUCGUCGUCAUGAUGGCGUGGCCUUGAUUGCCGUCGUCGUAAGAGGAGUUAUCGCUUUCUUGUUGUGCUAAUUUUAUUUAUUUUUCGAUAAAUAUGUAACUAGAUUGUAUAUAAA